UAGGGAAUUUUCCACAAUGAACGAAAGUUUGAUGGAGCGACACAGCGUGCAGGAUGAAGGUCUUCGGAUCGUAAACUGCUGUUAUAAGGGAAGAAAAACUUUAGUAGGUAAUGACUAGAACUUGACGGUACCUUAUCAGAAAGCGACGGCUAACUAUGUGCCAGCAGCCGCGGUAAUACAUAGGUCGCAAGCGUUAUCCGGAAUUAUUGGGCGUAAAGAGUUCGUAGGUGGUCUUGUCAGUCUGAAGUUAAAGCCCGGGGCUCAACCCCGGCCCGCUUUGGAUACUGCAAGACUAGAGUAUUAGAGAGGUUAGUGGAACUCCAUGUGAAGCGGUGGAAUGCGUAGAUAUAUGGAAGAACACCAAUGGCGAAGGCAACUAACUGGCUAAUAACUGACACUGAGGAACGAAAGCGUGGGUAGCAAACAGGAUUAGAUACCCUGGUAGUCCACGCUGUAAACGAUGAUCACUAGACGGUAGAGGAUUUACUGUCACAGCUAACGCAUUAAGUGAUCCGCC
rnacentral:rRNA from 1 species